CAGGCAACGACCCGAAGGGCGAAGCGCGCAGCGCUGAGUCAUCCUUCCCCCACCACCA
rnacentral:sRNA from 17 species